GUUGGAUGAAAGGCUGUUUUCAUCAGGUUUUCUACAGUUUGAACAAGUUGGAAUGAAGGAAGAUUCGAUUAUUAGACAUUUCAGGAGAGUUACCUCAAAAAAAAAGGAAAAGGAAAAAAAGAAAAGACAGUUUUACAAACUCUUUGGAUGUGUGGAGAAUCUCAACUGUGUUACAAAUCAAGGAGGACACUACAAUGUAUGCAACUAGUUUCUGUGGACCUGCAGCCUGUCUUGAAUUUGAAAUGAGAUCUACAAACUGAU